rnacentral:miRNA from 1 species
UGCAUGUGUGUGUGUGUGUGUGUGUGUGCGCGCACACACACACACACACACACACAGGCUCU